UUUCCGUAGGUGAACCUGCGGAAGGAUCAUUAGUGAAUAAACUUGUGUGGGUUGUUGCUGGCCUCCUCGGAGGUAUGUGCACACCUGCCGUCGUUUCAUUCAAUCCACUCCCACCUGUGCACUCUCUGUAGGCCAAACCAUCAAACUUUCAGGUCCUUCUGAAGGGCCUGGCGUGUGGAACUGCUCCGGCUUUCCUUGGAUGUGUAUGGUCUAUGUUUUUAUCAACACUGUAUGUAACCGAAUGUCUGUCUUGGGCUCUAUUAUGACCCAUAAAACCUUAUACAACUUUCAACAACGGAUCUCUUGGCUCUC
rnacentral:misc_RNA from 1 species